rnacentral:rRNA from 1 species
UACGUAGGGUGCAAGCGUUGUCCGGAAUUAUUGGGCGUAAAGAGCUCGUAGGCGGUCUGUCGCGUCUGCUGUGAAAACUCAGGGCUUAACCCUGAGCUUGCAGUGGGUACGGGCAGACUAGAGUGCGGUAGGGGAGACUGGAAUACUUGGUGUAGCAGUGAAAUGCGUAGAUAUCAAGUGGAACACCAGUGGCGAAGGCGAGUCUCUGGACAUUUCCUGACGCUGAGGCACGAAAGCCAGGGGAGCAAACGGG